rnacentral:rRNA from 1 species
CGGCCUAUCAGCUUGUUGGAGAGGUAACGGCUCACCAAGGCUUCGACGGGUAGCUGGUCUGAGAGGAUGAUCAGCCACACUGGAACUGAGACACGGUCCAGACUCCUACGGGAGGCAGCAGUGGGGAAUCUUGCACAAUGGGCGCAAGCCUGAUGCAGCGAUGCCGCGUGCGGGAAGAAGGCCCUAGGGUUGUAAACCGCUUUCAGGAGGGAAGAAAAUGACGGUACCUCCAGAAGAAGGUGCGGCCAACUACGUGCCAGCAGCCGCGGUAACACGUAGGCACCAAGCGUUAUCCGGAUUUAUUGGGCGUAAAGAGCUCGUAGGCGGUUCAGUCAGUCGGGUGUGAAAACUUGAGGCUUAACCUCAAGAGGUCACUCGAUACUGCUGUGACUAGAGUGCGGUAGGGGAGCGGGGAAUUCCUGGUGUAGCGGUGAAAUGCGCAGAUAUCAGGAGGAACACCAGUGGCGAAGGCGCCGCUCUGGGCCGUAACUGACGCUGAGGAGCGAAAGCAUGGGUAGCAAACAGGAUUAGAUACCCUGGUAGUCCAUGCCGUAAACGUUGGGCACUAGGUGUGGGUCUCAACCAACGAGAUCCGCGCCGUCGCUAACGCAUUAAGUGCCCCGCCUGGGGAGUACGG